rnacentral:rRNA from 1 species
GAUGAACGCUGGCGGUAUGCCUAACACAUGCAAGUCGUACGAGAGUUUUUAACUCUAGUGGCGGACGGGUGAGUAACACGUGAGAAUUUGCCUUUAGGAGGGGGACAACAAUUGGAAACGAAUGCUAAUACCCCAUAUGCUUUCGAGUGAAAUGGAUUUAUCCGCCUAGAGAGAAGCUCGCGGCUGAUUAGCUUGUUGGUAAGGUAAGAGCUUACCAAGGCGACGAUCAGUAUCUGGUUUGAGAGGACGAUCAGACACACUGGAACUGAGACACGGUCCAGACUCCUACGGGAGGCAGCAGUGGGGAAUUUUCCGCAAUGGGCGAAAGCCUGACGGAGCAAUACCGCGUGAGGGAAGAAUGCCUAUGGGUUGGUAAACCCUCUUUUUUUCCAGGGAGGGAAUAAAAUGACGUGUACCUG